UGACUCAGUUACUCGUAUCCGUUGU
rnacentral:piRNA from 1 species